rnacentral:rRNA from 1 species
GACCUGAUGCAGCCAUGCCGCGUGUGUGAAGAAGGCCUUCGGGUUGUAAAGCACUUUCAGUUGUGAGGAAAAGUUAGUAGUUAAUACCUGCUAGCCGUGACGUUAACAACAGAAGAAGCACCGGCUAACUCCGUGCCAGCAGCCGCGGUAAUACGGAGGGUGCGAGCGUUAAUCGGAAUUACUGGGCGUAAAGCGCACGCAGGCGGUUUGUUAAGCUAGAUGUGAAAGCCCCGGGCUCAACCUGGGAUGGUCAUUUAGAACUGGCAGACUAGAGUCUUGGAGAGGGGAGUGGAAUUCCAGGUGUAGCGGUGAAAUGCGUAGAUAUCUGGAGGAACAUCAGUGGCGAAGGCGACUCCCUGGCCAAAGACUGACGCUCAUGUGCGAAAGUGUGGGUAGCGAACAGGAUUAGAUACCCUGGUAGUCCACACCGUAAACGCUGUCUACUAGCUGUGUGUGUCUUUAAGACGUGCGUAGCGAAGCUAACGCGCUAAGUAGACCGCCUGGGGAGUACGG